UACAGAGGGGGCAAGCGUUAUUCGGAAUUAUUGGGCGUAAAGGGCGCGUAGGCGGCGAUUCAAGUGACGGGUGAAAUCCCUCGGCUUAACCGAGGAACUGCCUGUCAGACUGGAUUGCUUGAGGCCGGGAGAGGCGAGUGGAAUUCCCAGUGUAGCGGUGAAAUGCGUAGAUAUUGGGAGGAACACCAGUGGCGAAGGCGGCUCGCUGGACCGGUUCUGACGCUGAGGCGCGAAAGCGUGGGGAGCGAUCCGG
rnacentral:rRNA from 1 species